AAACAAAACAGCUCAAUAACAUAAAAGUAAUACUUUGCUCUUUAUCAUCAGUCCCCUGACAUCCAGUUUUACAGGACAAUGCUGAUGCUGUUACUUACUGUCUUGUGGCUUGUGCUGUUGCCUAUUCUCCUCGAAGACUGGAGCUUGUGGUCUGUUUCCAGCCAUACAUUGGAAACGAGGACGCUUUGGUGUGACCAAUUCUGUAAAACUGGUUCACUUUCAUGAAAUGCAACAGAGCUGCUUGGAUAGUCUUCAACUUGGUCCAUGGAAGAAAAAAUAAUCAUAUUAAGCAACAUGAAAGAUUUUACCAAAAAUAUCUUCAUUUGUGUUACGAAGAUGAAUGGGUGUGGAAUGAUAGAAUUUUUUGGGUGAAUUAACCCUUCAGAGCAUUUUAAAAUCUAUCUAAUUUAAUUAUUUGACCCCAAGUGUAUGGUCAGAAUUUAAAAUCAGAACUAAGCUUUUAACAGAAUUUUAACAGGUGUUCAUUGUAAUUACAAUUUCACGGUUUACUCUUACAUGUAAACGAUUUUUCUAAAAUUCUUAUCUUGAAAAGUUUCCAAGUCUUGGCAUCUGGCAGUUCUCCAUUCUUUGCCUUCUUGGAUGGCUCAGAUGGAGGCCAAUAGCAGCUCAAUCCCUGUUUGUACAUUUAGACAAAUACCCAAUUACAAACCAGUCAAAAAGUGAAAAGGCUUUUCACAGUGUUAUACAUAGUCCGUAGCUUUAUCACAAAACCUAAGCAGUAGCGAUACUUACAUUUCCAUCUGCCACAAUCCAUGUUCGGCAAAC